CAAAUCAGGUAGGAUUACCCGCUGAACUUAAGCAUAUCAAUAAGCGGAGGAAAAGAAACUAACAAGGAUUCCCCUAGUAACUGCGAGUGAAGCGGGAAAAGCUCAAAUUUGUAAUCUGGCGGUCUUGGGCCGUCCGAAUUGUAAACUAGAGAAGCGUUAUCCGCGCUGGACCGUGUACAAGUCCCCUGGAAUGGGGCGUCAUAGAGGGUGAGAAUCCCGUCUUUGACACGAACUACCAGGGCUUUGUGAUGCGCUCUCAAAGAGUCGAGUUGUUUGGGAAUGCAGCUCAAAAUGGGUGGUAAAUUCCAUCUAAAGCUAAAUAUUGGCGAGAGACCGAUAGCGAACAAGUACCGUGAGGGAAAGAUGAAAAGAACUUUGGAAAGAGAGUUAAACAGUACGUGAAAUUGCUGAAAGGGAAACGCUUGAAGUCAGUCGCGUUGGCUAGGGAUCAGCCUUACUCUGGUGGGGUGUACUUCCUUGUUGACGGGUCAGCAUCAGUUUUGGUUGCUGGAUAAAGGCUGAGGGAAUGUGGCACCUUCGGGUGUGUUAUAGCCCUUGGUCAGAUACAGUGGCUGGGACUGAGGAACUCAGCACGCGCAAGCUGUGCUUAGGAUGCUGGCAAAAUG
rnacentral:rRNA from 1 species